CCUACGGGUGGCUGCAGUCGAGAAUCAUUCACAAUGGGGGAAACCCUGAUGGUGCGACGCCGCGUGGGGGAAUGAUGCUCUUCGGAUUGUAAACCCCUGUCAUGUGGGAGCAAAUUAAAAAGAUAGUACCACAAGAGGAAGAGACGGCUAACUCCGUGCCAGCAGCCGCGGUAAUACAGAGGGCUCAAGGGUUGUUCGGAAUCACUGGGCGUAAAGGGUGCGUAGGCUGUUUCGUAAGUCGUGUGUGAAAGGCGCGGGCUCAACCCGCGGACGGCACAUGAUACUGCGAGACUAGAGUAGUGGAGAGGGAAGCGGAAUGCGCGGUGUAGCAGUGAAAUGCGUAGAUAUCGAGAGGAACACUCGUGGCGAAGGCAGGUUACUGGACACUAACUGACGCUGAGGCACGAAGGCGAGGGUAGCGAAAGGGAUUAGAUACCCCUGUAGUC
rnacentral:rRNA from 1 species